rnacentral:rRNA from 1 species
GGAUUUAUACCAUUCGUGGAACAUGUCAUUUAAUUCGUAAAUACACGCAAAACCUUACCAACUUUUGAAUAAUUUUGUAUUCUAAUGAAGAAAUUUGUUAUGUUAGAAAUUACAGGUACUGCAUGGCUGUCGUCAGCUCGUGUCUUGAGAUGUUAGGUUUAGUCCAGUAACGAGCGAAACCCUUGUCCUUAGUUGCCAGCACAUAAUGGUGGGAACUCUAAGGAGACUGCCGGUGACAAACCGGAGGAAGGUGGGGACGACGUCAAGUCAUCAUGGCCCUUACGGCCUGGGCUACACACGUGCUACAAUGGCUAGGACAGACGGCUGCAAACCAGCGAUGGGGAGCUAA